CACCGAGGUUGGACCUUGGUUACAGGGGUUGGAGUCCCUUGAGGCUUGGGGCCCAGCUGCGAGAUUCGUGAACAUGCAGGAACUAGAUUUCUGGGUUAACCCAGACUGGCAAACUGAGUUUCGUCAGUCAAACCAACAUAAUUGACAAUUGGCUUUUUCUGCAGGCGGAGUCAAGAUGGCAGCCUAGAAGGAGGAGAAGUUCAGACCUCUGAAUACCCUUCCUAACCAAUCAUAAACUGAAUGCUCCCAGAGGAAUGAAAAACAAACUUAACAACAAGACAGAGCCAAGGAACCCUCCUCCUGGACUUAAUUCAAAAGUUGCUUCUAGGGUGGAAGCACUCAUGGGACUCACCCAGAUGACACUGGAAGCUCAGCAACCAUCCCAGCCUGAAGCCCUGGACAUUGCCUACAGUCAAUAUCUCUCUCCUGACAAUAGGCAAGGACAGCUCUACAACCAUUCUCAGCUCUGAAGAAGGCACAGAAUACUGAGACCAUUGCCCCCCUUUCCUUAGAUAUUUGGAGAGGGGGGAGAUGAUAUGGGCAUUGUACCUCCAGAAACUUGGGCAAACUAUUGUCAUGAAAUUCUUCUGAUCCCUUGCAUCAUUGUGACUGCUAGCCUAAGGAUUCUUUGCUUUUAUGCUAAUCAUCUGGGGCCAGUUCCAUACAUUCCUAAUUUCCUAGUAGCCUAGUGGCCUUUCUCAAGGAUCACAUUAAUACUGUCCAACUAUGGUCUGUCACCAGAAAUAUUAAACUCUGACUCCCCUUAUGAGGAUAUGGUCGCCUGAGGAAGAUUCCUCAUGUACAGUAGAAGAAAUGGGUAAUGAUGGAGGUCAGAACAACCUCCCUCUAGGGGCCAGGGGUAAACUCUUGCCCAAGUCAGCAUAACCGUUCCAGCAACUAAGCAGAUAGUCCCUGUAUUGUGAACACCUCAGCUAGCUGCAACUGCCAAAUCUAGACAUCCUAUUGUUCAACAUUUCACGCUAGCCCCCAAAACUAUAAAAGUGUUCCCCUGGCCAAGCCAGCAGGGCUCCUUCUUUGGGGGAGCCCUAGCACCUAGUGUGCUAGUAAAUAAACAGUUAUCUUUUGCUUA